rnacentral:lncRNA from 1 species
UUCUUUCCUUUUUCCAUUUUUUUUAUAUACACUGCAAAGAUUGCAUUUUAGAAGGCCAAGCUGGGCAAGUACAAAGGUAAAGAGGGUUACAACAGAAACUCAACUCAAAAGAUUACUCACAAACAAUAAUCCACCCAUAAACCACAACCCAAAUCACUAAAGCGCUUAAGCCCACACUUCAGAAUCCACAAAACCACCAUAGCUCUGCAAUGGGCCAAGACCUAACAACCACAAUUCAGCCCAUCGCAGAAACGUUGACAUACCGCUCAAUAGAACACCACUCAUCGCUCACUGUCGGAGUUGUCAAGCGUGAGUAAUAGAACAACACAGCACAACGACGACCAGAAGAUAACAGGAGGCACAACAAACAAGUAUGCAUGCUCGAUCAAUCAAGAAAAUAGAGUCACUAGGGAGUACAAAAAGUAGUAGCGGUUCAAAUUAAUCUAGAAAUACAUUAAGGAAGAAUGCUAUAAAAUUCUCGGUAAGUCAUCGGUUCGUGAGAGUGCAAAUCACUUGACGUGGCGGCAUAGUCCUGAAUUACAAUGUCACAUUAGUUGAAACCUUUUUGGAGAAUCAAAUAAGAACCACUAAACCUCUUGAGAUCCAGAAU